CUACGGGACGCUGCAGUGGGGGAUAUUGCACAAUGGGCGAAAGCCUGAUGCAGCAACGCCGCGUGAAGGAAGACGGAUUUCGGUCUGUAAACUUCUAUCAGCAGGGAUGAAAAUGACAGUACCUGACUAAGAAGCCCCGGCUAACUACGUGCCAGCAGCCGCGGUAAUACGUAGGGGCAAGCGUUAUCCGGAAUUACUGGGUGUAAAGGGUACGUAGGCGGCUGAUCAAGUCAGAUGUGAAAGCCCGGAGCUCAACUCCGGGACUGCAUUUGAAACUGGUCGGCUAGAGUGUAGGAGAGGAAAGUGGAAUUCCUAGUGUAGCGGUGAAAUGCGUAGAUAUUAGGAAGAACACCAGUGGCGAAGGCGGCUUUCUGGACUAUAACUGACGCUGAGGUACGAAAGCGUGGGGAGCAAACAGGAUUAGAUACCCGGGUAGUC
rnacentral:rRNA from 1 species